AGAGGUGUAAUAGUUGCUCCUUUCGAAUGGGUGGUUGUAUGGGUCUAAUUUAUUGAGAGAGAUGGAGAAAACUACUGUGCAGUCUUAAACACUUUUCCCCGUCGACCUGAAUGGGACUUGCUGCUGCUUGAUAAUUGCGACCUUAAUUUUCCUAGGGGAGAGUCGUGUCAGGAGCAUUGAUAAAAUGACAAAACGGACUUCUCCAGCAUGAUUGAAUUGUCCGAAAAAGACAAACCUAUUAUUCAGAUGCUACUGAAUUUUGGAGCAUGCCCAAGGUGCAUUUUAAGAUUCUGCCGUGUGGAUCUACAUUCUUCAUACAGACGUCCUGAGAAGGAGUUGCUUUGUGAACUACACACAUUCCUGCAGAACAAUACUAGUGAGAGUGAAUCAUUUUGUGAAACAGCGCAGCCACCAUGUAAAAGAAUCAGAUUUGAGAGCAUCAAAGAAGAAGCGGAAGAACAGACCCCAAAUGGAAGCCAUCAGUUGACCAAUGCAGAGAUGGAUGGAAAUGCUACUGAUGAGGAUUUAAGGCCUUCUGUUUGCACGGUGUGCUUGGGAAUUCUGCAGGAGCUCUGUGAAAUGAAUUUUGUCAAAGCAGUCUGCCAGAAGAUCAGUUCUUCUGAAUAUCAGUUUUCCAGCUUUGUGUUCUCAGUGUCUUUCCCUCCUCAGCUUUCCGUCCGGGAGCAUGCCUCAUGGCUGCUGGUAAAAGAAGAAAUGGGGAAACAGGAUCAUUUAUUAGAAAAAGAUGACCUUAUUCAGCUGAAGGAAGCAUACAAAUGGAUUACUCACCCCCUGUUCUUGGAGGAGCUGGGGGUUCCUGCUGAUGGAAAGAGCCUGUUUGAAGUGAGUGUGGUCUUUGCUCAUCCAGAAACAGAUGAGGAUUGCCAUUUCCUUGCCACAGCAUGUCCAAGUUGCUUCAAACCAGCAAAAAACAAACAGUCUGUCUUCACCAGAAUGGCCGUUGUUAAGGCUUUGGAUCUGAUAGAUGACAAUGAUUUCCAUAAGAACUUUCAAUGUCCUCCAAGUUCACCCAAGACUCCUUGCUCAGCUGUUGACAUUCAGUGUACAAAUAGUGCUGUUUUUGUGGCUGGAAGAUAUAACAAAUACUCAAGAACGUUACCUCAAACACCCUGGAUUAUAGACGGUGAGAGGAAGAUGGAGUCUUCUGUGGAGGAGCUGAUUUCAGAGCAUCUCAUGGCCACUUUCAAAGCAGACAGUUUUAAUUUUUCAUCCUCUGGAAGAGAAGACGUGGAUGUGAGAACGUUGGGCAAUGGAAGGCCCUUCGCAAUUGAGUUGGUGAAUCCUCGGAGAGUGCAUUUGACUGCAGAGGAAAUGAAGGCACUUCAGCAGACAAUCAAUAACGCAUCAGACAAAGUCCAAGUUCGUGAUUUACAAAUUGUUACCAGAGAGGCAAUUGGGCAUAUGAAGGAAGGAGAGGAAGACAAGACCAAAAGCUACAGUGCCUUAAUAUGGACAGAAAAGGAGAUAAAGAAUGAAGAUAUUGCAGUUCUGGACAGCAUGAAGGAAUUAAAACUUGAUCAAAAAACUCCUCUUCGGGUACUUCACCGGCGACCUCUAGCUGUCCGGGUUCGUGUCAUCCACACCAUACGUUCAGAGUACAUUGAUGAGCAUCAUUUCCGGCUAUAUCUAAAGACACAGGCAGGGACGUAUCCUUCUUGAGGAUAAAUUCCAAAAGGGGCCGUUGUGACUGAUGGUGUUGCACUCUUGUAUCCUAUUGUUCCUUCCUACCAUCACAACAACCCUUCGGUGGAUGUCGAUUGGCCUCCUGCGUUGGACAACUAAUGAACCAUUAAUUUUCAAGAUGGGAAAGUAAAGAGCUGCUGUCUCACCAGCUCAACCAACUUCAUUUUGUGAGCCAUUGGCUUUGCUGACUAAUUGUUAAUACAUAUUAGAUCAUGUUGAUCUAUAAAACAUUUUUUUAAUUAAAAAUUUUUGUUUUUAAUUGGCUUUAAAUUCAGGAUGAAUGGCUGGUAAUUUGGGUGUAUCUUACCCUUCUGCUCAGAAGAAAUAGGGUUCGUCUUAAAUGUAGACUUGUCUAGUGCUGGAUCACUUCUCAAGAGACUUUUUUCAUAUGAAAGGAUAGGAAAUGGCAGAUCUGGAGACUGGGAAGUUCACAUGCAAAAUGCACCAGUCCCUGGGAAAUAUCAUGUAUACUUGCCUGACAAAGCUUUGGCAACCUUCGUAGGAAAAAAAGAGAACCUUCUCUCUGUCCAAUCUAGUAACAUCUAUUUUUAAAAUUUCCAUUUCGGGUGUCUGCAUCACUUGAAGCAACAGUCCAACUGCAGCAUUUUUAAAAUUUGAACUACACCAUCUCCUCCUCCUAUGUUGCAGGUAUACAUCAUACUUCAAAAAUGCAAAUAGGAUGUUUGCAAGACAAUUCCUUGGAGUAAUUGCAGCAAGUCUGUUCCAGGGAGUAGCAGUGCAACUACUGCAGACUUGAGCCUGGUGCUUGGAAUGAUUUAUAAUGCAGACUGCUUGGAUGGCUGUGCAAAUCAGCAUGUAUUCCCUGUGUUGGCCUGCGUGCUGAUCCCGUGUAGGAGUUCCACUGUGGAACUUUCUCUCCAAUAUGCGUAUGCACUUCGUACAGCCUUAUCUCCCAUUAAAGGUAGAAGCAUGGUAUGCAGUAGGCCUUUUAUUCAAGAUGGAUUUAUUCUUUCAUAGGAGCCCAUAAAGUUAAGAUGACUAACUUGCUAUCAAGGAGACCUUUAGAGUUGUUCAACUAUGAUAUUGAGUUGUGUUUGGUACACCAACAAUUAUGGGGGAUCAUGUGAGAAUACAAAGGAAAUUUUAAUUUUAGUCAAAACUUGUUACAAAAAAAACUCCAUUGAUUUUUAAUCAAGAAAAUAAAUCUCUCUUUGUAAAAACCUAUUAAUGAAUGGUUGUCUCUAUACAGUGUUUCUGACUGUAAACUACAGACCAUCGGUUCUCAUUCCAGCCACAUGGAGUCUCCUGAGGGAAAAAUUAAAGCGGAGUUCCCAAGAAAUCCAAAUUCUGUGCCAAGAUUAUGUACAACCCCGUGAUUGUACAGACUUUUUGUGUGAUGAGUUUUAUCUCCUUUUCUAGUUUUGUAAGGCUCACCAGGGAGUGACUUUGGGCCCUUGCUGUCUACCCCUCAGUCUUUGUAAAUCAGCUUGACUCACUUCACUGGCUGUUGGGGUCUUGGAAGGCAUCAGCUAUACAGCCUGGAAGCUUGGUUCUUUUUUUAUGUUGAGAUUUUUAUGUAAAAAAAUUAAAUAAAAUCUCAACUCUAUAUUGUAGCA